rnacentral:rRNA from 1 species
UGGGUCCACCUCCCACCCGUGUCUAUCGUACCUUGUUGCUUCGGCGGGCCCGCCGUUUCGACGGCCGCCGGGGAGGCCCUGCGCCCCCGGGCCCGCGCCCGCCGAAGACCCCAACAUGAACGCUGUUCUGAAAGUAUGCAGUCUGAGUUGAUUAUCGUAAUCAGUUAAAACUUUCAACAACGGAUCUCUUGGUUCCGGCAUCGAUGAAGAACGCAGCGAAAUGCGAUAAGUAAUGUGAAUUGCAGAAUUCAGUGAAUCAUCGAGUCUUUGAACGCACAUUGCGCCCCCUGGUAUUCCGGGGGGCAUGCCUGUCCGAGCGUCAUUGCUGCCCUCAAGCACGGCUUGUGUGUUGGGCCCCCGUCCCCCUCUCCCGGGGGACGGGCCCGAAAGGCAGCGGCGGCACCGCGUCCGGUCCUCGAGCGUAUGGGGCUUUGUCACCUGCUCUGUAGGCCCGGCCGGCGCCAGCCGACACCCAACUUUAUUUUUCUAAGGUUGACCUCGGAUCAGGUAGGGAUACCCGCUGAACUUAAGCAUAUCAA